ensembl:lncRNA
GAGAGGGAGAGAGACAGAGGGAGAGAGAGAGAGAGAGAGAGAGAGAGAGAAGGAGAUAGAAGGAGAGAGAGAGAGAGAGAGAGAAGGAGAGAGAAGGAGAGAGAGAGAGAGGGAGAGAGAGACAGAGAAGAAGAAGAAGGAGAGAGAAGGAGAAAGAAGGAGAGAGAGAGAAAUAUGGCUGUUUUUCCUGUUUAACAAUCCCUACUCUAAACAAUUCCAGGAGGAAAGUGUGAGUCUCCAAGGUGGAUUUUGGACACAGAUUUAUGCCCCUAUCCCAGCCAGGGACAAUCACCCAACCAUCAUAUUCACUAAUAUGCUGCACCAAGGCAGAGAGAAAUUUGCAUUAUAAUUGUAAAGCCAAAUUCAAACCACUCAUACAUGUUCCAUACAUAACUACAAUUACAAGAGUAUGUGUACAACUGGGGCAGAAUAUUUAAGUGUGAUCUGUAUGCUGAUUGGAAUACAUGCUAUUGUCUUAGAGGACAAUAAUAUACACAGAUGUUUGAUUUUAUGGUUACUGCAUAUAGUAUGUCCCCAACAGUACAUGUGGAGGAAGCAUAUCUGAACUACAGGUAUUGGGAGGAAGACAAAAUCCUCAACAGCUUCUUUGACCAAAAUGGAAACAUAUUGUUAAGAUGGUCUGUAAUAAGGAGAGCAAAUCUGUAUGGCAACACAUCCUGUCUGGACUUUACCCGGGCAGUGGCACACUAUCUCUGUGACAUGUGUUAUGUAGUUUGGGGUAUAGGAGAAAUCAAUUAGAAACUCAAUGCAUACAUACAAGUGUUGUUGAAUAUGAAAUAUAUACAGUUGAAGUAGGGAAGUUUACAUACACUUAGGUUGGAGUCAUUAAAACUUGUUUUUCAACCACUCCACACAUUUCUUGUUAACAAACUAUAGUUUUGGCAAGUUGGUUAGGACAUCUACUUUGUGCAUGAAACAAGUAAUUUUUUCAACAAAUGUUUACAGAAAGAUUAUUUCACUUAUAAUUCACUGUAUCACAAUUCCAGUGGGUCAGAAGUUUACAUACAAUAAGUUGACUGUGCCUUUAAACAGCUUGGAAAAUUCCCAAAAAUUAUGUCAUGGCUUUAGAAGCUUCUGAUAGGCUAAUUGACAUAAUUUGAGUCAAUUGGAGGUGUACCUGUGGAUGUAUUUCAAGACCUACCUUCAAACUCAGUGCCUCUGCUUGACGUCAUGGGAAAAUCAAAAGAAAUCAGCCAAGAACCCAGAAAAAAAUUGAAGACGUCCACAAGUCUGGUUCAUCCUUGGGAGCAAUUUCCAAACGCCUGAAGGUACCACGUUCAUCUGUACAAACAAUAGUACGCAAGUAUAAACACCAUGGGACCACGCAGCCUUCAUACCGCUCAGGAAGGAGACGCGUUCUGUCUUCUAGAGAUGAACGUACUUUGGUGCGAAAAGUUCAAAUCAAUCCCAGAACAACAGCAAAGGACCUUGUGAAGAUGCUGGAGGAAUAGAUGGAAUUAGAUGGUAUCAUGAGGCAGGAAAAUGAUGUGGAUAUAUUGAAGCAACAUCUCAAGACAUCAGUCAGGAAGUUAAAGCUUGGUCACAAAUGGGGCUUCCAAAUGGACAAUGACCCCAAGCAUACUUCCAAAGUUGUGGCAAAGUGGCGUAAGGACAGACAAAGUCAAGGUAUUGGAGUGGCCAUCACAAAGCCCUGACCUCAAUACCAUAGAAAGUUUGUGGGCAGAACUUAAAAAGCGUGUGUGAGCAAGGAGGCCUACAAACCUGAUUCAGUUACACCAGCUCUGUCAGGAGGAAUGGGCCAAAAUUCACCCAACUUAUUGUGGGAAGCUUGUGGAAGUUAAACAAUUUAAAGGCAAUGCUAUCAAAUACUAAUGGAGUAUGUAAACUUCUGACCCACUGGGAAUGUGAUGAAAGAAAUAAAAGCUGAAAUAAAUCAUUCUCUCUAUGAUUAUUCUAACAUUUCACAUUCUUAAAAUAAAGUGGUGAUCCUAACGGACCUAAAACAAGGAUUAUUUUACUGGAAUUAAAUGUCAGGAAUUGUGAAAAACUGAGUUUAAAUGUAUUUGGCUAAGGUGUAUGUAAACUUCUGACUUCAACUGUAAUUACAUAAAGAUAAAGGUAGGGUUGAAGCCGCCCUUUGUAAAACAUGUUUCUCAAGAAAUAAAUCACAUCAUCACAUAAAAGCAGGUCUGGUUGAGCAAGCAAAAAUUAAUAGCAUCUGGGGAUGUUACAGCAGUAUGAUGGUAUAGGAGUAGGAUGUUAUAGGGCCAGGUGUUGUAGGAGUAGGAUGUUAUAGGAGUAGGGUAUUAUAGGAGUAGGAUGUUAUAGGGCCAGGUGUUAUAGGAGUAGGAUGUUAUAGGGCCAGGUGUUAUAGGGCCAGGUAUUAUAGGGCCAGGUGUUAUAGGAGUAGGGUGUUAUAGGAGUAGGGUGUUAUAGGGCCAGGUGUUAUAGGGCCAGGUGUUAUAGGAUUAGGAUGUUAUAGGGCCAGGUGUUAUAGGAGUAGGGUGUUAUAGGGCCAGGUGUUAUAUGGCCAGGUGUUAUAGGAGUAGGAUGUUAUAGGGGUAGGUGUUAUAGGAGUAGGGUGUUAUAGGGCCAGGUGUUAUAGGAGUAGAUGUUAUAGGAGUAGAUGUUAUAGGGGUAGGGUGUUAUAGGGCCAGGUAUUAUAGGAGUAGGGUGUUAUAGGAGUAGGUGUUAUAGGAGUAGGUGUUAUAGGGCCAGGUGUUAUAGGGCCAGGUGUUAUAGGGCCAGGUAUUAUAGGAGUAGAUGUUAUAGGAGUAGGUGUUAUAGGAGUAGGGUGUUAUAGGGCCAGGUAUUAUAGGAGUAGAUGUUAUAGGAGUAGGUGUUAUAGGAGUAGGGUGUUAUAGGAGUAGGGUGUUAUAGGGCCAGGUAUUAUAGGAGUAGAUGUUAUAGGAGUAGGUGUUAUAGGAGUAGGUGUUAUAGGAGUAGGGUGUUAUAGGAGUAGGGUGUUCUAGGGCCAGGUGUUAUAGGAGUAGGUGUUAUAGGAGUAGGUGUUAUAGGAGUAGGGUGUUAUAGGAGUAGGGUGUUCUAGGGCCAGGUGUUAUAGGAGUAGGUGUUAUAGGAGUAGGGUGUUAUAGGAGUAGGGUGUUAUAGGAGUAGGGUGUUAUAGGAGUAGGGUGUUAUAGGGCCAGGUAUUAUAGGAGUAGGGUGUUCUAGGGCCAGGUGUUAUAGGAGUAGAUGUUAUAGGAGUAGGUGUUAUAGGAGUAGGGUGUUAUAGGAGUAGGGUGUUAUAGGAGCAGGGUGUUAUAGGAGUAGGGUGUUCUAGGGCCAGGUAUUAUAGGAGUAGGGUGUUCUAGGGCCAGGUGUUAUAGGAGUAGGGUGUUAUAGGAGUAGGGUGUUAUAGGGCCAGGUAUUAUAGGAGUAGGGUGUUCUAGGGCCAGGUGUUAUAGGAGUAGAUGUUAUAGGAGUAGGGUGAUAUAGGAGUAGGGUGUUAUAGGAGUAGGGUGUUAUAGGAGUAGGGUGUUAUAGGAGUAGGUGUUAUAGGAGUAGGGUGUUAUAGGAGUAGGGUGUUAUAGGAGUAGGGUGUUAUAGGAGUAGGGUGUUAUAGGAGUAGGUGUUAUAGGAGUAGGUGUUAUAGGAGUAGGGUGUUAUAGGAGUAGGUGUUAUAGGAGUAGGGUGUUAUAGGAGUAGGGUGUUAUAGGAGUAGGUGUUAUAGGAGUAGGGUGUUAUAGGGCCACGUGUUAUAGGAAUACAUUUUACAGCAUUAGAUAUACAUUUAUGGACUGAGUUCAAAAAUUAUUUUUUAAAUCUUUGGACAUUUUUUAGGAGCUGAAUGAAAGUACAUGAUGGAGAUGUAUUCGAACAUGUGUCUGUGUAUCGAUCUGACAUAUAAUUCAGAUAUAUCGGAUAUAUCGAUAUAAUUCAGUCUAUUUGUCAUCACCAUCUUUUGUAUUGUAGUAUUUGGUGUAAUUUCCCUCCUAUGUCCCUUUAGUUUUGUAUGCUGGAGAUGUGAAAGGAAUGUGUUAAGUAUUUUUUUUUUUUGCGGGCAUAUGGCACAACUAUUACAGUCUAGUUAGAGUUUGUGCACAUAAGAUUCAGAGACACUUAUAAACAGGGUCUAUAUGAAUCAACAACAUGGUGUCACGUCACGAUAGAAAGACACACACAUAGUAUAAACACACAGUACAAGUAGUAGUACACAGACAUCAUUUCAAUGGCUUCAUCAUAUUUCUCCUUGUCUUUUCUUUGCGUAUACACUUGUAUACAUGUUAGGAUACAGUUGGUGAGAAGGGUUUAGACACAUAGGUAGACACAUAGGUAGACACAUAGGUAGACACAUAGGUAGACACAUAGAUAGAUCGCUUAACAAAAUUAUGUUUUUUUCUUUUCAGAAAACAAACGUUAUCAUUUUUUUUGCAGUUGAAACAAUAUGGCUUUAACUAGUGAAAACCCUAUCAGACUUUUUUUUUUUUUUUAAGUUAAGAAUAAUUUACUCAUAACUUAUGAUUAUUGAAAUGUUUUUGUUCAUUUUUUGGAAUAUAUCAAUCUUCAAUGUCAUGUAGCCAUGUACGUUAUUAGAAAGAUAUGAGAAUUUCUUACAAUAAAACUUCACAGGAUUUGGUCUUUGGAAAGUGAAAAUGUAUGUUGCCAGCCUAUUUCUACUGCUAUCAACAAGACCAAAUCUGGACCACUUCCUUAGUUCUGGACCACUUCCUUACUUCUGGACCACUUCCUUACUUCUGGACCACUUCCUUACUUCUGGACCACUCCCUUACUUCUGGACCACUCCCUUACUUCUGGACCACUCCCUUACUUCUGGACCACUUCCUUACUUCUGGACCACUUCCUUACUUCUGGACCACUUCCUUACUUCUGGACCACUUCCUUACUUCUGGACCACUUCCUUAGUUCUGGACAGUUUCCUUAUUUACUAGUGACAAAAGAAAUUAUCGUUUUUUUCCCCCAGUAUCUUUGGAUUUGAUAUUAAUGAAUUCAAACAGUAAUUAGUUAAGCAUGUACUUUGUGUAAAACAGACAUGUGGUAUGGGAGGUGAGUAGUGAAAUAAUGACAUAGGCAGUAUUGGCUUCCUUCAAUGUAAUGCAGUUCUGAUUAUUUCCUUGUCUUUGGCAUUAACCACCAACUGCUAAAUAUGAUGUUGACUAAAUAAUUUUUAUAGAACUGUGCUUGUUUUUCUUCUUCUCUACACUGAAUAUGAAUCGUGUGUAUUCUAUGGAUAAUCUGAGUGUAUAAUGUUGAAUAUGAAUCGUGUGUACAGUAUUCUAUGGAUAAUCUGAGUGUAUAAUGUUGAAUAUGAAUCGUGUGUAUUCUAUGGAUAAUCUGAGUGUAUAAUGUUGAAUAUGAAUCGUGUGUACAGUAUUCUAUGGAUAAUCUGAGUGUAUAAUGUUGAAUAUGAAUCGUGUGUACAGUAUUCUAUGGAUAAUCUGAGUGUAUAAUGUUGAAUAUGAAUCGUGUGUACAGUAUUCUAUGGAUAAUCUGAGUGUAUAAUGUUGAAUAUGAAUCGUGUGUAUUCUAUGGAUAAUCUGAGUGUAUAAUGUUGAAUAUGAAUCGUGUGUACAGUAUUCUAUGGAUAAUCUGAGUGUAUAAUGUUGAAUAUGAAUC